AGAAUGGGCACCUUGAGCACCCCAGGCACUGCACACAGCCUCUCAUUAGCACUUCUAAUUAGAGCCAGGUGAAGCUGAGGAAUUUAAUCACUCCUGUUACUCCACAACAGACAGGUUUGGAUCUGGGUAGUAGCUUGGCAGGACCCAAACAGAACUGCUCUGUCGCAUUUGCAAGCAGAGAAUGUGACCAGUUUGGGUUUCUUUUAAAAAACAAGGAGGCAGCACAAGCUUUUGGGGACAAGCUCCAGGGCUUGAGGGUAGCUGGCAUGAAGCAACGUAUGCAAAGGGCACUUGGCUGACAUGCUUGCACCAAGUUCACCCAAGUUCUGUGCUCUGUAGCAGCCAAAGCAUUUCUGAACUGUAUAGCGUGGAAGAAGGCUGAGAGGUGGCAACACUGGCACAGCAAAGCAGCACUAGAAGUCAUCUCAUCAUGGUUCAGCCCUCCUGGUCCCACCGGCCACCUGCUCCUCCUGGAAAAGGUGCUUAUCUCUGCAGCCACCAUGAUGCUCAUCCCUUCUGCAACCGUGAUGCUCAUCCCUCCUCCCACCAUGGUGAUGCUCAUCCCUGCAGCUACUGUGAUGUCCAUCCCUCCAACCACCACACUGGAUGCAGCCAGGGCCAGGACCAAACUGUGGGGACAAAGAGUGCCUCCCUGGGGAAUUAAAGCACCAAGAGGCUCUCCCUGCUCUCUUUUCACCCCCAGCCCCUGGACGAGGUGCACCCCUGAGUGGAAGGGGACAAAGUGGAAAAGGGGGGUGGAGGGGGGGGGUUAGGCUUUUUUCUUGGAAGCUGUGUUUAUCCCCCUUGUUAAACGCCAGAUGAAAAGUUUCAAGCCUAAAUUAGUUUUGUCCUCUUCCCUUCAUUUAUUUACAUUAUAAUAAUCCCGCGCCUGCGAAUUGUGUCAAUUAUUCUUUCCUCUGGGCGAGCCAAGAAUUCUUUGUUCCUUGCUAGUUUACAAAAGUGAAAUAUAGGUGAGGUUUAGGACCUUUUAAUCCUCCUAUGUAAUUACUGUUCCCUGCAGACACCGCAGCGGUUUACAAUCACGGCGCGGAGCUGCUGGGCUCAGAUUAGACACACAAAGUCCCUUCACUUCAUCAAAGGUUUCCUUAUCUGCCCAAGACAGCGAAACAACAAACGAUCCACAAAUCUCGCCGGACCCGGUGUUUAUUUGACCACGGCUGAAAUAAAUAAAUGUGCUGCAGCCCGAGAGGCUGAGGCCGAGCGGUUUCCCUGAGAACGGGGGGCUCGGCAGGCGCCUGGGUGGGAAUU